rnacentral:rRNA from 1 species
UUGACCUCAGAUCAGGUAGGACUACCGCCUGAACUUAAGCAUAUCAAUAAGGCGAGGAACAGAAACCAACAGGGAUUCCCCUAGUAGUGGCGAAUGAACCGGGAAAAGCUCAAGUUUGAAAUCUGGUAUCAACCAGAGUUGUAAGCUGAAGAGGCAUCGACCGAUGAUGGUCCAGGCUCAAUGAUCCUUGGAACAGGCAUGUCGUAGAGGGUGAAAAUCCCGUCUGUGGCUUGAGUGCCGUCAUCUUUGUGUCGUGUCCUCGAAGAGUCGGGUUGUUUGGGAAUGCAGCUCAAAAUGGGUGGUAAAUUUCAUCUAAGGCUAAAUAUUGGCGAGGGACCGAUAGUAAACAAGUAGAGUGAUCGAAAGAUGAUAAGUAUCUUGAAAAGGAAGUGAAACAGUGCGUGAAAUUGUUGAAAGGGAAGCGUUUGGCAUCAGCCCAUGACAUCCAUCAAUCAUGAGACUUCUGUCCUGUGAAAUUGUUGGGUGUCGGGCCAGCGUCGGCUUUGCUUGCCGGAGAAAGGUCUUGGGGAUGUGACACCCUUCUGGGUGUGUUAUAACCCUUGACGUCAUACGGUGGGUGGGGCCGAGGUCUGCG